rnacentral:lncRNA from 1 species
GUCAAUACGGCGUUGGCCCCCUCCCAGCAGCGCGGUCCGGCGCUUGUUUUCGAUGCGUUCGUUAACAGAGGUGGCCUGGCUGCAAAGGCUGCGGACCGCGGCGCGGAGACCGCUCGCCAGAACGCUGAGCCUUGCCCCGACCGCCGCCACCCGUAAUGCCGCCGCCAUUUUUGCUGUGCCGGCGCGUCCCCUACCGGCGCACCUGAGUACGCAUGUGCUAAAGCGUGGGUACGGCGCUUGCGCAGCAUCGGCUGGCUGUAGGGAGCCGCGGGGGCUGGACUACAGAACCUGCUUGGGAGUAAGGCGUGAGAGUUCGAGACCCGGUGCUGCCCGAGGAGGGUCGCGCAGAGAAAAAGUACAGGGCCUGCCUGGCUGCACAAAAAAGGGACAUAGUCCUUGCUCUUCUCUGACCACCUAGACCCUUAACUUUGUCGUCCCACUUCCUACAGAAAAUGAUUAUAAGAUUUAACCAACAUUUAUUAAGCAUUGUGCCAGGUGUUGCUUUUUGCACUUACCAUGCACUAGCUUACUAUCUGGAUUUCACAGAUGAGGUAAAUCAAGCACAGAGAGAUGAGUGAUUUGAUCAAGAGGCAAGACUGAGGCCGAGGUAGGUGAGCCCAGGAGCCCAAGACCAGCCUGAGCAAUAUAGUAAGACCCCACCUCUACAAAAAAAUUAAAAAUUAGCUGGGCAUGGCGGCUUGCACCUGUGACCCCAGCUACUCGGGAGGCUAAGGCGGCAGGAUGGCUUGGCCCAGGAAGUCGAGGCUGCAGUGAGCCGUGAUUGCAUCAC